AACCAUUCUCACCUGCGGCUAGACCUGCGGAAGGAUCAUUACCGAGUUUACAACUCCCAAACCCCUGUGAACAUACCACUUGUUGCCUCGGCGGAUCAGCCCGCUCCCGGUAAAACGGGACGGCCCGCCAGAGGACCCCUAAACUCUGUUUCUAUAUGUAACUUCUGAGUAAAACCAUAAAUAAAUCAAAACUUUCAGCAAUGGAUCU
rnacentral:misc_RNA from 1 species